rnacentral:tRNA from 1 species
UGUGGCCUAGUGGUUAAGGUAUUUGGUUCACAACCAUAAGGUCCUGAAUUCAAUACCCAGCA